CGGUUCCUCCGCCAGCUCCUCCUGCACCAUCUCCUCCGGCUCCUCCGCCAGCUCCUCCUGCACCAUCUCCUCUGGCUCCUCCGCCUCCUCCAUCUCCACCGUGUCCGCCUGCACCUCCCAAGACAAGGUCUCGCUAAGCUCCACCGCAUGCCCGCACAAGGGCAACGAAGAAGGCGAAAGUUGACGCCACCAAAAACAGGGAGCCGCCGUACGAUUGCAGUCAAGAGGAGCUUGAUGCUUAUGUGGC
rnacentral:lncRNA from 1 species